UACACGACGUCGCAAUCGGUACAGGAGC
rnacentral:sRNA from 1 species